GAUGAACGCUAGCGGCAGGCCUGAUACAUGCAAGCCGGACGGGAUUUGGGAGCUUGCUCCUAAUGAGAGUGGCGCACGGGUGCGUAACACGUAUGUAACCUACCUUAGUCAGGGGGAUAGCCCCUCGAAAGAGAGAUUAAGACCGCAUAACAUUAUUGAGUGGCAUCAUUUAAUAAUCAAAUAUUUAUAGGACUAAGAUGGGCGUGCGGAACAUUAGCUAGUUGGUAGGGUAACGGCCUACCAAGGCUACGAUGUUUAGGGGAUCUGAGAGGAUGGACCCCCACACUGGUACUGAGACACGGACCAGACUCCUACGGGAGGCAGCAGUAAGGAAUAUUGGUCAAUGGGCGGAAGCUUGAACCAGCCAUGCCGCGUGCAGGAAGACGGCCCUACGGGUUGUAAACUGCUUUUAUACGGGAAUAAACCUACUUACGUGUAAGUAGCUGAAUGUACUGUAAGAAUAAGGAUCGGCUAACUCCGUGCCAGCCGCCGCCGUAA
rnacentral:rRNA from 1 species